GAUGAACGCUAGCGACAGGCCUAACACAUGCAAGUCGAGGGGUAACAGGAAGUAGCAAUACUUAGCUGACGACCGGCGCACGGGUGAGUAACGCGUAUGCAACCUACCUACUACAGGGGAAUAACCCGGAGAAAUUCGGACUAAUACCGCAUAAUACAGGGGUCCCGCAUGGGAAUAUUUGUUAAAGAUUAAUUGGUAGUAGAUGGGCAUGCGUUCCAUUAGGUAGUUGGUAAGGUAACGGCUUACCAAGCCAUCGAUGGAUAGGGGAACUGAGAGGUUGAUCCCCCACACUGGUACUGAGACACGGACCAGACUCCUACGGGAGGCAGCAGUGAGGAAUAUUGGUCAAUGGGCGAGAGCCUGAACCAGCCAAGUCGCGUGAAGGAUGACGGUUCUAUGGAUUGUAAACUUCUUUUGUACAGGGGUAAAACACUCUACGUGUAGAGUCUUGCAAGUACUGUACGAAUAAGCAUCGGCUAACUCCGUG
rnacentral:rRNA from 1 species